GAUGAACGCUAGCGGCAGGCUUAACACAUGCAAGUCGAGGGGUAUUGGUUUUCGGACCAAGAGACCGGCGCACGGGUGCGUAACGCGUAUGCAAUCUACCUUUUGCAGAGGGAUAGCCCCAGAGAAAUUUGGAUUAAUACCUCAUAGUAUAGUACUUUGGCAUCAAGGAACUAUUAAAGUCACAACGGCAAAAGAUGAGCAUGCGUCCCAUUAGCUAGUUGGUAAGGUAACGGCUUACCAAGGCUACGAUGGGUAGGGGUCCUGAGAGGGAGAUCCCCCCACACUGGUACUGAGACACGGACCAGACUCCUACGGGAGGCAGCAGUGAGGAAUAUUGGACAAUGGGCGCAAGCCUGAUCCAGCCAUGCCGCGUGCAGGAUGACGGUCCUAUGGAUUGUAAACUGCUUUUUAUACAGGAANAACACUCCGACGUGUCGGAGCUUGACGGUACGUGUAAGAAUAAGGUAUCGGCUAACUACCGUG
rnacentral:rRNA from 1 species